rnacentral:lncRNA from 1 species
GUUUUUCGAUAUUUACAUGGGUUAGCUCAUAUAUCUUAGAAUUUGAGUUUCUCAUCAAUUUGUAUUGUAGGAAUUUAUGAUUCUACCUGUUGGAGCUUCGAUAGGACCCUGAACUGAUUCUAAAGCGUGGCUGAAAAGAAAAAUAAAAAUCUGGAAUCAACUGCAAUUUUAUUGAAUAAAGAAAAUAGAACAGACUAUCAGGAGCAUUCGAGAGUCUCCGACUCUCCUACUAGACUCUUGAUUUCUCCAUGCUUCUCUACCCCCUUUUCCCUUUACAUUUAUUGACAAUUUUCUAAUUAACUCACUACCUCCCAACAACUAACGAAAUAACAAAUGACCUGCAACAAGAAUUGAUUUAUGUUACUUAGUUGGCUUGGCAUCUGACUUGGUUGCUUCUUCCUUCGUGUAUAUGUAAUUAUUGCUGGGGGCUUACCAUCACUCACUCCCCUUAAAUCCAUCCUGUCCUCAAGGUGGAAGUUGGGAAAUUGCUGGCGUAUGCUCUCCACAGACUCCCAUGUUGCUUCGAAGUCUGGCGAGUUCUUCCACUGGAUCAGUACUUCAAGAUCUGAACCUCCUGCUGAACUGGCACGCACCUGCAAUAUGGCCUCAGGUUCUAUCAUAGGCUGACUUUCCACGGCAAGAUGUUCUAGAAUAUGGGAGAUAGUUUGGAUGAUUCCUACUGCUUUCCUGAGCUGUGAUAUAAGAAAAAUACGGUGAAUGGCAGAUUCUGGAGGAAGCUUCAAUCUAUAGGCCACCUAUCCAACCCUAGCCUCGACUGCAAAAGGUCUAUAGUAUAUGGGAGCGAGCUUUGCUGAUGAUCGACGAGCUACAUAUGUUUGACGGUAGGGGAGCAACUUCAAGUACUCCAAGUCCCCAACUUCUAGCUGGAUGUCGCGGAGGUGGCCAUCUGCCUGCUGUUUCAUCCUUUGCUGGGCUUGUAACAGAUACAUCUUGAGAUGUUGGAGUACUUCAUCCCUGCUGAUUAGCGACUGUUCAAUAGACAAUACUGCUGUCAUUCCUUUUUCAAAUGGUAGAACCGGUAGAAGAUCACAACCACAAUCAAUCUAGAAGGGAAUGUGCUUUGUCACUGUGUGAAAUGAGGUGUUAUACCAAAAUUCCACCCAUGGUAGCCACUGUCCCCAGGAGAGGGGUUUACUCGAGGCAAAGCAAUGCAAGUAGGUUUCUAAGCACCUGUUGAUGACCUCAGUUUGGCUAUUCGUCUGGGGGUGAUAAGAUGUACUCCUCUUAAGCACGGUCCCUUGAGCCUGAAAAAAUUCUUCCCAAAAUUUACUCACGAAAAUACGAUCACUGUUCGACAUAGAUUGUGGAAUGCCAUGCAAUUUGAUAAUCUCUCAAAUGAAGACCUUAGCCACCAUGGGAGUUGUAAAUGGAUGUUUUAGACCGAUGAAGUGACUAUGCUUACUGAGACGGUCAACCACUACCAGAAUAGUGUCCCAACCUUGAGACCAGGCAGCCCUUCAAUAAAAUUGAGCGAAAUAUUAGCCCAUACCUGUACCGAAAUCGGUAGUGGUUGCAAGAGUCCCUGGAGAGACAAAGACAUGUACUUGUUUUGCUGGCACACAUUGCAACUGUCUACAAAUGCCUUGACAUCUUUUUUAAUGCCCCUCCAAUGGACAUCCCAUGCAUUCCAUUUGUAAGUUUUGAGGAAGCCUAAGUGGCCACCCACUCCAGUGUUAUGAUAUUCCUGUAGCAUCAUUUCAAUGAGUGGGAAUGAUUUAGGUGGAGCUAACUUGCCAUUAUAAAGCAGAACUCCUUCUACCAUAGAGUAACCUAUUUUUUCCUUCCAUGCCUGAAUACUUGCAAUGAUUUUACGUCCCUUGUUACUGCCAAUCUGACCUCAUCCAUCUGCAACACUCAAGGGCUGAAAAAUGCCAAAGAACUUACUGUAGGUUCCACCAGGGAAAAAAAUCUCAGAUUUAUUCUCUAAUAUAGUUCGAUACUGAAUCUCAAAGUCGAAAUUGAGAAGUUUAGUCAUCCAUUUCUAGUGCUUUUCACAAACCAAGUACUGUUCUAAGAGGAACUUCAGACUUGGCUGAUCAAUCCUUACUACAAAGUGUCUGCCAAGAAGAUAAUGCUGCCACUUUUGCAUGGAAAACACAAUGGCCAUUAAUUCGCGCUCAUAAGUCGAUUUGCGUCUAGCGCUAAGGGAAAGCAUCUGAUUUUAAUAAGCGAUUGGGUGCUGCCUUUGCAUUAAAACUACCCCCAAACCCUAUCCCGAGGCAUCCAUCCCUACGACGAAUUCUUGCGAGAAGUCCGGUAGAGCGAGGAUCGGGACUUCGAUUAUAACUUUCUUCAUGUUGCAGAAAGCUUCCUCUGCUGCCUUACUCCAUCUGAACCCAUCCUUUUUUAACAGUUCGGUCAAUGGCCAGGAGAUCUUUGCAUACCCCGUUACAAAUCGACGAAAGUAGCCGGUGAGUCCGAAAAAACCUCAUAGCUCGCGAAGAUUCCUGAGCGUGGGCCAAUUACACAUUGCCUCAAAUUUAGACUUAUCUGUCGCCACUCCAUUCCCUGAUAUAAUAUGGCCCAAAUACUCCAGCUCCGAUUGUCCAAAUGUGUACUUCUCAUUCGCGUAUAACCUAUGUUGUUGUAAACAUAUCAAGACAACCUCCAGGUGUGCUUGGUGGUCCUCAAGCGAUUUACUAUAUAUUAAAAUGUCAUCAAAGAAAACUAGCAUAAAUUUUCUGAGAUAAAGUUGAAAUACAUCAUUUAUUGGCCCUUGGAAAGUUGUCGGUGCAUUCGUCAAUCCAAAGGGCAUGAAUAAAAAUUUAGAGUGGCCCUAGUGAGUUCGAAAGGCAGUUUUCAGCACAUCUUCCUGACUCAUCCUUAUCUGAUGGUACCCUGAUUUUAAGUUCAGUUUUGAGAAGAUAUUCUCCCCAUGAAGCUCAUCCAACAAUUUGUCAAUUACUGGUAUAGGGAACCUAUAUGGAAUUGUUACCUUGUUCAGGGCCCAAUAAUCCACGCAAAAAUGCCAACUCCUGUCCCUUUUAACCAACAAAAUAGGACUUGCAAAUGGGCUACAGCUGGGUUGGAUUAUCCCUGCCUCUAGCAUGUUUCGUACUAAUUUCUCAAUAUCAUUCUCUUGAACAUACAGGUAUCAGUAUGGUCGGACAUUCAUCGAUUUUGCCCCGAUUUGGAGCACAAUCGCAUGAUCGUGGGAAUGCACUGGGGAUAGCUCAUUUGGCCAGUCAAAAACCCUGCAGUGACGUUGCAAUAGCUCUGUCAUCUCGUCAAUGAGCUUAAUUCCCUUUCCCUCGUCUUCUAGGCUCAAGCUCCUCAAUUCCAGCAUUACUCCUUGGUCUCCUUCUUUAAAGUUCCUGACCAUCGAUUUUAUUGAGACCUGAGUCUUUUGUAAACUAGAGUCCCCUUGCAACAGACCGAUUCUCCUUCAACAUUAAAUCUCAUCGUCAACCUUCCCCAAUCAACCUGUGUUUGACCCAGGGUACCUAACCACUUCAUUCCCAAAAUCAGGUCAGUAUAACCCAACAUAAGAGGGAGAAAAUCAUCCACCACCUCGAUGCUCAGCAACUCCACAACUAGCUCUUUACAUAUUCCCCCUCCUUUGACCGUAGUACCUGUUCAUUGUGACUCCGUAACUGUUGGUUCCCGUUACUAGAAUGUUCAGCUUCUUCACCAAUUCCAAGGAUAUGAAGUUGUGGGUUGCCCCACAAUCAAUGAGCACCACAACUGCUUGACCCAGUAGAAAUUCGGUUACCUUCAUCGUCCUUGGGGUGGAGAGUUCAACCACCGAGUUGAUGGAUAGCUCCACUACUUCAUGCACCUCAUUUUUCCCCACUUUAGCCCCUAAUUCGAUCGUCUCCUCCUCCCUUUCCUCCUCUUGAACUACAAGUACCUGCAACUUCUUUAGGCGACAUUUGUGACCCGAUUGGUACUUCUCAUUGCAUUUAUAGCAUAAUCCUUUCUCCCUUUUUUACUGGAGUUCUGCAUCGGUCAAUCUCUGGUACGACGUCCCCCCUUUUUCGACUGAUGGACAACGGGGGUUGGGCGUUGAUGGCUUCGAAGGAGCUGCUGGAAGUCACUGAAGUGAAGUCGUGCUGUGGGUCUGAGAGUUCUAGGAGUAAUUAAAUGGGCUAUAGGUGAAGCUAUUUGUCUAGCCCGUGGUUUUAGUUGGGCCGUAAUGAAGUUGGGCCUAGUCAAUGGCAGCAUUUCUAUCCUCGACUCGCUGGGCCAUCACCAUGGCAUAGGCCAAUUCGCAUGGCUUCAUCAUCCUCAAUCUAGCUCGUAUAAUGUGUGUUAAUCCAUUGACAAAAUUACAUUCCAGCAUUUCCUCAGGGAUCAAUGGCAAGGGGGCGGCCAACGCUUCAAAUUGUCGUCGGUAAUCCUGUACAGAGCCUUCUUGUCUUAGCCCCAGCAGCUUCUCCAACUAAGUUCCUUCUUGUGAGGGACGAAAUCGCUCCAAGACCAAGGCCUUAAGGUCCUCCCACCGGGGCAUGGGUUAUCGACUGCCUUCCCAUUGGAACCAAGCUAAUGCUUCUCCCUUAAAUCAAAUUGCCGCCACCUCUAAUUUCUCCCAAUUCGACAAUGGAAAUCAUAUUAAAAUAUCGUUCUGAUCUGAAAAUCCAGCCAUCUAGAUUCUCACCAACGAAAAUAGGCAUUUCCAGCCUCCUGCUCCGGUGUUCCGCCCUCACAUUGCCCUCAUGGAGUUUCUUUCUCUCCUGGCUGCCACUAGCUUCUUCGGACAUGGUGGAAACCUUAGGGUUACUCGUCGAAUCUGAGGUUGGUUCGUGGGGGUUCUUUUUCUUCCUUUUUCUUUCUGCUUUGGCCCACUACCCCAUCAUCACGUCAAUUUUUUCCAAAAGUGAGGUCAUAUCCUUCGCAUACCCUCUAUCUUUCCUUCAAACGAUUCCACCCGAUCCAAUAGCAUCAUUUUCACCAUGCCAGAUGUUCUGAUACCAAGUUGAUGGGACCCUGAAUUGAUUCUAAAGUGUGGCUGAAAAGAAAGAUAAAAAUCUAGAAUCAACUGCAAUUUUAUUGGGUAAAGAAAACAGAACAGACUAUCGGGAGCAUUCGAGAGGCUCCAAUUCUCCUACUAGACUCUUGAUUUCUCCAUGCUUCUCUACCCCCUUCCCCUUUACAUUUAUUGACAAUUUUCUAACUAAGUCACUACCCUCCCCCAACAACUAACAAAAUAAUAAAACGGCAUGCAACAAGAAUUUAUUUCUGUUACGUAGCUGACUUGGCAUCUGACUUGGUUACUUCUUCCUUCGUGUAUAAGUAAAUAUUACUAGGGGC